rnacentral:rRNA from 1 species
CAGUAGCGCGGUAAUACGAAGGGUGCAAGCGUUACUCGGAAUUACUGGGCGUAAAGCGUGCGCAGGUGGUGGUUUAAGUCCGUUGUGAAAGCCCUGGGCUCAACCUGGGAAUUGCAGUGGAUACUGGGUCACUAGAGUGUGGUAGAGGAUAGUGGAAUUUCCGGUGUAGCAGUGAAAUGCGUAGAGAUCGGAAGGAACAUCUGUGGCGAAGGCGACUAUCUGGGCCAACACUGACACUGAGGCACGAAAGCGUGGGGAGCAAACAGGAUUAGAUACCCCGGUAGUCCCUGUCUCUUAUACA